GACGAACGCUGGCGGCGUGCUUAACACAUGCAAGUCGAACGGUGAAGCGCCUUCCUUUUUGGUGGGUGUGGAUGAGUGGCGAACGGGUGAGUAACACGUGAGUAACCUGCCCCCUUCUUCUGGAUAACCGCAUGAAAGUGUGGCUAAUACGGGAUAUUCUGGGUCUGUCGCAUGAUGGGUCUGGGAAAGAUAUUGUUUCGGUGGGGGAUGGGCUCGCGGCCUAUCAGCUUGUUGGUGGGGUGAUGGCCUACCAAGGCGGUGACGGGUAGCCGGCCUGAGAGGUUGGACGGUCAGGCUGGGACUGAGACACGGGCCAGACUCGGGCGGGAGGCAGCAGUGGGGAAUAUUGCUGGAUGGGCGCAAGACUGAGGCAGCGACGCCGCGUGAGGGAUGGAGGCCGUCGGGUUGGGAACCUCUUUCGGCAGUGAAGCAGGCCUGCCUCGUUUGUGGGUGGGUUGACUGUAGCUGGAUAAGAAGCGCCGGCUAACUACGU
rnacentral:rRNA from 1 species